rnacentral:rRNA from 1 species
AGUGAACGCUGGCGGUAGGCCUAACACAUGCAAGUCGAACGGCAGCACAGUAAGAGCUUGCUCUUACGGGUGGCGAGUGGCGGACGGGUGAGGAAUACAUCGGAAUCUACUUUUUCGUGGGGGAUGACGUAGGGAAACUUACGCUAAUACCGCAUACGACCUACGGGUGAAAGCAGGGGAUCUUCGGACCUUGCGCGAUUGAAUGAGCCGAUGUCGGAUUAGCUAGUUGGCGGGGUAAAGGCCCACCAAGGCGACGAUCCGUAGCUGGUCUGAGAGGAUGAUCAGCCACACUGGAACUGAGACACGGUCCAGACUCCUACGGGAGGCAGCAGUGGGGAAUAUUGGACAAUGGGCGCAAGCCUGAUCCAGCCAUACCGCGUGGGUGAAGAAGGCCUUCGGGUUGUAAAGCCCUUUUGUUGGGAAAGAAAAGCAGCAGGUUAAGACCCCGCUGUUCUGACGGUACCCAAAGAAUAAGCACCGGCUAACUUCGU